UUAAGUCCCGCAACGAGCGCAACCCUCGCCUUUAGUUACCAUCAUUUAGUUGGGUACUCUAAAGGAACCGCCGGUGAUAAGCCGGAGGAAGGUGGGGAUGACGUCAAGUCCUCAUGGCCCUUACGCGCUGGGCUACACACGUGCUACAAUGGCGGUGACAGUGGGCAGCAAUCCCGCGAGGGUGAGCUAAUCUCCAAAAGCCGUCUCAGUUCGGAUUGUUCUCUGCAACUCGAGAGCAUGAAGGCGGAAUCGCUAGUAAUCGCGGAUCAGCAUGCCGCGGUGAAUACGUUCCCAGGCCUUGUACACACCGCCCGUCACACCAUGGGAGUUGGUUUCACCCGAAGGCAGUGCGCUAACCGCAAGGAGGCAGCUGACCACGGUGGGAUCAGCGACUGGGGUGAAGUCGUAACAAGGUAGCCGUAGGGGAACCUGCGGCUGGAUCACCUCCUUUCUGCGGC
rnacentral:rRNA from 1 species